AUUUGCUUAACUAGAAAGAUGAUCAUAAUUGACUUUGCUGCCUGAUUUGCUGAUAUUGACGUAUUUCUUAAGUGGUAUGCAAAAGUAAUUUCUUAGGCAAUCCUUACUUUUUUAUUUUUUACUGAUUUCUUGGUUGAGAUGUUUAGAACCAGUAAACACUUAAUUUGACUGGUUUCUUACUUUAAAGUUUACGAUGCUCAUGCUCAUCAUUUGCGAUUCUAUAACAUUUGUGACUUAUUUAACAAUGGAUGGAAGAGUUGUAUCUUUUCGAG
rnacentral:misc_RNA from 1 species